rnacentral:lncRNA from 1 species
AGGUAAUGUAACAGGCCAGAGUCUCAGGUGACUUUAGGAUGCUAUUAAUAACCUGUCAGGCAUAACAUUGUUCUUUGAAACCAGAAGCUAUUGGCUGUGGCAGCUGAUGGCUCCGAUGUGGCUUGGUAGUUCCUGCAGAUACCACUGAAACCCGUUAUCUUUCUAGUCUUGCUGCUGCCAUCUUGAGAGAGAGGUUGUGGAGCAGGGUGGAACCCAGUGUGACUGCUCUGUGGAUGGGGGGAAAUUAAUUGUUUAGCUGGACUGUUUUCCUAAUCCACCUUUUCUCCCUUUGUGAAAUCCCGUAUAAGUCACACGUGACUAAGUUUGUAACAAAGCAAGCAGCUUUCUCAUUGGGGAGUUCCCUGGCCACCAGCAGGAGAUGUCCCAGCGCUGCAGGGCUGCCAAUGGUAGGGGUCCUUGGAUCUGUCCAGGCAAUGCACUUUUUAAAGAAAAGUGUAUUUAAGUGUUGAUUUCAGAGAAAACUGUUCGCAGCCUUGUUGCAAAGUGAUCAGGUGAGGCAUCUCAUUUUAGUGUCCUGUGGGCUGGGGGUGAGACAGUUCCCCAGUAGCAGCCAUACUAGGCCAGAAGGCUAGUGCCCAUGGGACCUGCUUGUUUUUGAACUAUGGUAAUGUAGACUGCUGAAACCCUGUUACAGCUCCAAUGUCCUUCUGUUCUAAUGAUUCCCAUUUCUCAAGCAAGACUCUGCCUCUUUUCCUGUCCUGUGAGAAACUGGAUGGAAGUUGCCAUGCCUAUCCGUAGCUUCCUAGAGGAAGGGAGCUUGUCUAAGCCAUGAGCAUCGCUUUGCCAUCAGCAGAGGUGCAAAUGCUUCAAGGAUGGUCUUAGCAUUGCUAGCUUGAGCACAGCCUAGUCAGUCUGCAUGGUGUGAUUGGGUGGACCAUAUCUAAGUGCACGAGAACAUCUGACUUUGAUUUUGCGGCCAACUGAUUAGCUGUGCGGAUAAGAUGGUAUGAUUUCUGUGGCUUUAGAUGAAGUGGCUGUAUCCACUGAGCAGCAGGAAAUGUGUGCGUGCCUGUCUACUUGGUAGCCUUCUUUGAUCAUGUGUAAACUGCAUCUGAGUUCAGGUCAAUCGUACUCUUUCCCUGUUGGUGUGUGAACACACUUGGGCUUCUGAUUAAUCACUAAUAUUUGCAGAGGUUUGACUGUCAGGCAGUAACUCGGUCUGCUACAAGUCAGCUUCAGCAUAUUAGGAGAAUGUUAGAGUUGACUAGAAAUAAGCAAUUUCUUAAAUGAGCGUGAGCAUUUAUAAGAGUGCUUGUGCCUCUGAAACUUAGGUAGCUGAAGCCUAAAAUUUGCAUCUAAGCAACUGAAUAUAAUCAAAUAUGUGAAUAGUGCACAAUAUUUUUUUUCUCCCUGUUAGGGAAAUUGGGAAUUGCUAGAAGAAUUGCAAGAUGCAUUAGGAAUUGGUGUGCUGGGAGACAACCAGCAAUACCAAGAUUAGAAAUAUUGGGAUGAGUGGAGGUGAGGAGUAUUUCUCAGGCUUAUCUCAACCUUAUCUACAACUUCCAUUAAUUUCCCUGGAUCAAAAAGCCAUCUGGUUAACAAGACAUGCUUUGGGCAGAAAGUAGGAGGCAUCGUCAGCAUGGAAGGAUCAGAAUUAUCAUACCAGGAAUAUUGAGACCAGAAUAACAGAAAUGGGCUGAAACUCAGCAGCACAGAGUUCUCAGUGACUAAUAACAAAAACUUAUUCUUAAGCAGGGGCUUUGUCAGUUAGAAAAUACUGAGAAGGAGAAAGAUGUCGGUGUAUUGGCUGAUCACAGGAUGACUAUGAACCAUCAAUGUGACUUUUCUUGUGAAAAAGGAAAAUUUAGUGUAAAGAGGCACCAGGUGAAUCAUGAUGAGGCCUGGUCCCCUCUGGGACACAGGAGUUAGAGUGGACAUGAAAAAUCUAUUACACAAGAUUGCACUGAAAGGAAGCCCAGCAAGAAAAUCUACAAGAAGGCUAAACAAAAUGAAGGCACUGAGUAAUUGUAAAGUACGGGCGUCUAACUCAAUCUGUAGUACUGCCAGAAGAAUAAACACAAGAAAUAGUGAUGAAUGUAAUUCGUCUGCAAAUUAGGAGUUCUCUUAGAAACAGAAGUGCCCAGAAAUGUAGCCAGCCAUUUCCUAAGAUGACACACUAGAAGGACCUAAAGGAGAGACCUGCAAUAGCAUGGCAUGGUCUGGAAGCUGGUUCAUUUAGUGCAGGGCUCCCAGACAAGCUGUUAGUUAAGCUGCUGCAAGUUUUGUAGAUAGUUUGUUAGCACAAAAUUAAUCAGUGGAAGCUAGUUUGCUGAGAACAUAUGGAAAUGUGCUUUUGUAAUUGUUUUAGCUUACAGAAUCCUUCAGAGAUUUGAAGUUGUUCCAAGCUACAUUCACAGGCCUCAAGUUUGCUGAGGUAAAUUAAGCCAAAUUCCCGCUGAGGGAAUGCAGAUUUUAACAAAGUACCCCUGCACACAUUGGCACUGUUUUUUAACUAGACAAUUCAAAAGCAUGUUAUUAGAUGAUAGAGGGGUGAUUUCCCUGUGUUCUUGCCUAAAUGGGGCAAUUAGAGAUUUGGAAAGUAAAGAUAAUAAUUAUCAGUGUAUGCUUGGAGUAGCUGCUGUAGUCUUUUUUUGAACUGAUGUCCUUGCAGCCAUACUUCAAGACAAAGCCUGUGUCAUUGUUAUCAGAAACAUAUUGCUCUUAUACAAAAUAGAUGUCCACUGAUUUGCCAGUACAAAUAUUAGAUGCUUUUUGCUGGUAUUUCUAAUACCCGUUCAUCAGUGUUUUCAAUUCUGUAUUUGAACAGUAAUCUGUUUUAUGUAGGAAGUCAUAUCUACAGGAGGACAAACGCUUUUUCCCUCAUAGUCAAAAAGGGUUUGGGUAAUUUUGUGUGGGUCGAUGGGAUCAAAAAUAGAGAGGCAGCCCUAGGAAAACUAAAUCUAACAACAGUGCCACAUGAGAUAUGUUCUGCUUGGGAAUGUUGCUGUGCUACAAGGCACAGGGAGGUUGUAGCUCACCCACCUCCAACCACAGUACGCCCCUUUCAGAUUAUGCCUGCCCUACUCUUCCAUGCAGCAGAUGUUGAGUUGGAGUGGAUGGAAAAUGGAGAGGGCAUUUUUUGCUAUCACCUAAAACCCUGUAUGCUUCUGUGUUCCGUUUUCCUAAAUUGUGAGCAGAAGAGGGACUCUAUUGAGUGAGAUUAUGGCCUGAAGCAGAUGAGUCUGCAAGCAUGUUGUAGAUCUCUGGAGUUCCCUUUCCUUACCAUUUUGCAGCUUUUACUUUAGACUUGGAAUCACUGUGUUCCAUGCUGGUCCAACCUCAACAUGAUUAAGCGUGUUCCUGUAAGGAAGCAUCUAUUCUUACCCAUUUAAUACCUGCUACUGCACUAAUGUGAGGAGAUCUCUAGUUAAUGGCUUUUUCGACCUUGGGAGGUUGAUGCAGAGCUUGCUCCCUUUGUGCAGCACCUUAAUCUUCUCCUGAUGAUCGGGGAGUUUCAGAAUGAGAGACCCAAGCAGUGCAUUGUCCAAAGUCACUGAUGUGAUCAAAAUCACUGAUGCUUGAUGCAGCUCUCAUAGGGAGGAGCACCUAUUUCUCAUCAGCACUUAUUCCCUAACUUCCAUCAGGAGCUUAUCUACUGCUUCUGAUCCUAAAAAUGGGUGCUGGAGGCUUUAGGUCAUCUCCACUAAGGCUCCCGGCCUUACUCUGAACCUGUUAGAAACUGGAUGGGAUUAAAAACUGUGGGAGUUUCCUGUUCUAAAUAUGUUUUGUAAUGUGUUGUUAGAGAGAGGGACUGUCCACUCCUGCUUCUAGGUUAUAAAGAUUGCAACUCGAAGUUUUAGCUUAUAUUUAGCAGGCUACCACAGAAUUUCUUGUGAUUAUCAUGUUUCCCCAGAUGCUCUGGUUGUUCUGGGAAGUGCAAUCAACUCCCUAGUAGCAAUUUAUUCUCUUAUCACUGUUUUCUGUUGAGUUAAUUUUCUGUGGAUGCAUUUCCAGCCCUACAUUCUGAGACUUCUUAGAAACAGUGCAAAGUUCAGGUAAAAAAACCAGGUGGUCCUAACCAGGCAGGUCUUGCGUCCCCAUCUUCCUCAUUGCUGGGAGCAGUUUGAGCUGCAACUGGAUAUCUUUGGGCUACUCUCCUUAGGUUGCUUCCUCUUACACUCAUGUACCACCAGAUGCAAAGCAAGAGGGAAGCUGUUGGAGAAGACUGGAAGCAGUUUAUCCCUGUCCUUGUUUGUAAGGGAGGCACAAAGCACUGGGGAUCUAGAUCUGACUUUUUUUUUUUGUGGUUAAGCAAAAUGUCUGUUUUAAAAGGCUGGAAACUGUUUGGAGCAUCACUGGAAGCAAAUGAGCAGUUUUUGUGAUUUAAUAGCAGUGGAUAUUUCUUGCUUGGAGCCACGUGGGUCAAGGCUCAGUGGUAGAUAGGUCACACCAAAAUAUUUUUCAUGCAGAAAUCUUUAAGUGGAGAAAGAUAUAGAGAUAUAUAUAUAUGUCACUGCCAGUCAAACAACAAGUUAGAGAUAAAUUGGCAGUGGGAUGCAAUGAACUAACCACAGCGGGAAAUCAUAACUCUGUUCAGGCAGCACCACUAAUGCAGUCCUUGUGACUUGAAGUGGUCUACCUAUUAGAGUUGAAGGAACCAGUGAAAUGGGUACAACCUGGAGCAUAAUCCACUGAUAAAGUCUAAGUUUCAAUAAAAUAUUUUUAUUUACAGUAAGUCAUCUGUAUUUUCUGCCAAGGAAAAAGGCUACUUGGAGUAUCAGCACUUAUGUAAAUGCAGAGUAGAUGUUUAUCUUAUCUGGAAAUAAGUGCCAACUUCAGCUGGGUAAUUCUGGUUAAGGAGGUUGUUUAGGCUCAUAAUGCUGAAGGGCUUUGACAGAUAAGCCUGUGACUAACUGCAGUGCUUUCUGGUGCUGCUGCUGCAACCUCUCACAGCUCUCUUAGCUUGAACUGACAGUAGAAGUCAUUUUAACCCAUAUUCUGUGCUAUGAAGCAUAGCCAUGAGCCCAGGUGCCUCUUUGUGUCUGCUCCUGGGAGAAGAGCAACUCCUUCACCUUCCCCAAUGUCUCACGUGUAUGAGAGCUGGCCCUUGUUACCCGUGCCAGGGUGAGCUCUGCAGGGCUGCACAUCUUCAAUGUUGUAUAAAGAGGCUAUGAUGCUCAGUGGAGAGGAAGAUGGCUGUGAGCUCAGACAAUCCAACACAGAUAUAUCACCCUCUCCAUACCUUUAUUUCCUAAGAGAUGAGAGUAGUAAAUCUUACAUUCCUGUUCAGUUACUUCAAGAUGAAUGUUGAGUAAAAUAAUGAAUGAGAGGUAUUUGUAGAUUCUGCAUAUGACUCUUCAUGCAAAUUGAUGCAUUGCUUCUUUAAAACUGGUUUCACAUCACUUUUCUCUUAGAAACUUUUUGCCUGAGCAGAUAAAGCAGUCUUUCUCCCCAAGGACAUUGUAGGAUGUGUUUCCGUCUCCCCUUUCUUUGCCAGCAUGCAAGUCAGACUGAAAUGGGUUUUACUGUGGCAUUUUAGAAGGCUGGCACUUAGCAAAAUAAGGAUGGACCAAUUCAGCUGGCAGGCAAAUGUGCUAGUACAGCUACGGCAUAGUAAAGUUGCAGUCUCAAGCAACACUGUCCCUGGGCAUCUCGGUACAAGGACCCCAUGGAUCUGUUACUCCUCUGGGGCUGUCUGAGAAGCACAGAGAGGGGAGCUGCAUUGCUUGCUGUGUUUUCUGCCUCACUCUCUGUGCCAGCCUAAGGCUGGCUGUUCUGUGUUGUUGGGUGGGGCAGAGAGCUGGAGUUUGGCUGUGACAGGGUAGGGUGACACCGAUGAGGAGUCUGCAAGUGUAGGCAGGCACAAGGAGUUUGUUUGGAAUUCACUUCUGGCAGACUAUUCUGUCACUGUCUGGUCUGUGGAUGAGGUCCAAGGGCACUUUGGUCCCCAGGUACCAUGCAGGUUCUUGGUUUCCCAAUAGUGACCAGCAGCAAUAGGCACCACAGUGAAGAGGUGACAUCUAGCACAGCUGUGCCUGGGACAGGGGCUACUCAGCUCAUGCAGAGCAGCUUAUGACGUGUGGGAGUCUGACUUGGUCUCUAAGCAAAGCUGCUGAAACAGUUAUGGAAAUGCCAUUUUCUGAGCAGUGCCACCAUGGAGAAGGGGACUUGUGUCUGAGGAAAGGCACUUCUGCCAAGACCUGCCCUGGGUAGCAGCACUGACAUGGGGAAGCUCUUGCUGAGAUUCUUCUGUGCUUGCUCACAGUCACCCAUCUACCAGUUUACUGUCCUCACAGUACAGCUUCCACUAGAUCAAAAGUCAUACUUAGGUAAUAAAAAAAUAAUAAGACUUAGCAUGCAGCCUGGACUUGUGGCCUAUCCCAAUAUGGAGAAUGGAUAUCUUUGUUUUGAAUCAGUCAUUCCGGAGUGUGCUCUGGUAUUUCAUUUCCUCCCACAAGAAAUUUAAGUGGUUUUUAAGACUUCAUCUAUCUCUUGGGCUUUGGCUGUGGGAAUAACUGUAGUCAGAGCCAGGUUAUCUUUUUUGUGGUACUGUUGGCAGCAGCUCUGUUGCCUCUUCUAGUGUGUUGCACAACUCUCUGGGGGAGCACUGACAGUAGGACCCCCUUUUCCUUUUGUGACUCUGUUCUGAGAGCAGAGUACUGGAGGAGGGUAUCUGCUGGUGUCAACAAAAAUGAUCCUGAAGAUGUGGCUGCCCUGCAGUACCACCUGGAUUGCAAAGGGUGAGGUGUACAGACUUGCACUCAGACUGAUGGUGAAAAAGCAGUAAAUGGAAAAUAGCCAACAGCAGUUGUGCUGAAGAUCAUCUUGUCUCUCCCAUUUGUGGAUAUGAAGGCCUUCUUUGUCAGCUUGUCCAGGGAAUAUAUGAUUUACAAUCCCUGGUCAUUAAUUUCUGCAGCUUAUCAAUUACUGGUUAAUGAGGCCAUGAAAUGCAUACCAUCUUGUAGGAGAUCUUGGCUCAGGUUUCCCAGUUCGUAGGAUAUCGUUUGUGAAGACUUCUUUCAGAAAAUUGCUUCUGACAGAUAGAUUGCUUACUUGUGCACAUCCUUAUGCGUGUGAGACCUGGCAGAUCUGCUGCCUGCUGAGCAGCUUGCAGAGAGUCUAGCUGCUGCUUUAGUUUACUAGUGUUUUUCAUUUUUUUUCAUUUAUCUUCUAUUUAUGCAGCUAUCUUUAUUUACCCAUAUGGAUUAAAUUAGCCAUAAAUCAUAGACUUGUAGAAUAUCCUGAAUUGGAAAGGACAAGAAAGGAAAAAUUAAGUUAGUUAAACAGGAUCUUCCCCUCAGGAACCCAUGUUAGCUGUGACCAAUGUCAGCAUUGUCCUUCAGGUGUUUUUUGAUAACUCCCAGCACAAUCUUACCAGGCACUGAAGUGAGACUGUUGGGCCUGUAAUUACCAGGGCCUUCUUUCUUGCCCUUCUUGAAAAUCAGAACAAUGUUUGUCUCAGUUGACUGGAAGUUGACCUGUCUGGGUUGCCAAGGCCAUUGAAAAAUAAUUGAGAGAGAUCUCAUGAUGAUAACAGCAAGUUCCCUGAGUAUCCUGGCAUGAAUUUCAUUGUGUCCCAUGGACUUGCAUGCAUCCAGAUGGAGCAGCAAAUUCUGCACAAGCUUGAGGUUGGCUGGGAGUUGGUCUCUACUGCAGUCAUGAUCCUCCAACUCUGGGAUGCCAGAGCUCAUCGCCAGGAUUGAAGACAGAGGCAAAAGAGGCAUGAAACAUCUGUUUUGUCUGUGUCCCUCUUUGUAAGAUGACCACUCUCAUCAAGUAACGAACCAAUGUACUCUCUGAUCCUCCUUUUGUUGUUAACGUAUUAAAACAAACAAACAAAAAACAGCUUUAUAUCCCACAGUAUUGGCCAGCUUCAACCGUGAGCUUUUUCCACGUGCAUUUUCUCCCUACAAAGGCAGACAGCAAUCCUGUAGCUGUCUAUUGUUGCCCAAUCUUGCUUCCAGCAGCCAUAUACUUUCCUUUUCCAUGUGAGCUCUAGAAGAUUUCUGUUCAACUAAGCCAACCUUCUGCCCUGCCUGCUGCACUUCUGAUGCUUUGGAAUGACCUGUUCCUGUGCUCUCAGGAGGUGACUAACACUGAUGGGCCCCAUGCCUUCAAAAGCAGUUUCCCAGGGGGAAAUGGUGGGGAGGUUAUCCAUUUCCUUCGUAGGCACCAACCCAUGGCAUACUGCCAUACAUUUGGAGAAGAGCAGACUGGUGCUGGUACAGCUCCCGUGAGAGCUGAGCCUCUGGUUUACCUUCUCAUCCUUUCAAGCUGGGCUCAGGUGCAACUUAGAUGCAUCUCAGCAACCUGCCAGGAGAGCUUCGGGGGCAGACAUGCCAUCGCACACAGCAAAGCUGCAACUGCCUCCCACUUCUAGCUCUAGCUUCAAAAUGCUGAUCAGAGAAAGGUGCUAAAGUGGUGAUGACUGUUCUGGCACUGCCUGUGGGUUCCCAGCACAGCCAGAAGUUUGCAAAUGUCCCCUGGAAGUUCCUGUGCAGAGUCUGAUGUUGAGAUAUUCCAGGUGUGUGUGCUUUGUGUGAGCAGGCUCUUCUUUUCUCCCUUUGUGAUAGGGGAAGUUGCACUGCAUCCGUGGUGCUGUGGUUUGGGAUAUAUUGGCCUUAGACUCUUGAAGUAGUCAGAGCUCAAUCUCCUGGUAAGCAGGAAUCUCUCCUAGAUCUGACUCAAGAGGCAGUGUACCCAGUGUUAGACCACUGGCAAAAGAAGAUGAAUUCCAUAAUUAGGAGGAUGUUGGAAAAUACAUUGGGCAAUCUGAUAUUUUCUGGCAUGACUUAUAGAUGUUGGUGAAGUCCUUGGAUUCCUGACCCUGGUUGUUAAAUUUCUCAGUCCUCACAUGACUACUGUUUCCAUGUGCAGUAAUCUCCAGAGGGUGGUGUGUGUAAUCCUGGAAGUUUAGCUAGUAGGAACUUGGGUAUUGUGCUCUAGAGAACAAAGGAAAACACUUCCUAAGCACAUCCUUGCAGUUCAGGGGGAGAUGGAAACCUUUUUCAGUUAGAUGUGCACUGUAGUUAAGAUUGCAACUAUAUUUAUUCAUUAGCUAUUGAUAGUAAUUAUUUCUCUUUAGAUUUUCCGGUACUUUGAACGAAAAGGAGUUCAGUAAUAGUGCAGUUAUGAAAUACUUUAAUGACGCUAUAGGACGUUCUGCCACUGCUGGUGUUGCAUGUUAGCUUAUGUGGGUUUUUUUUUUUUUUCCCAAAACUGGGAUAAUGAGUUUUCAUAUGUGAAGCAGCUACACAAAGCUUCUCUGAUUAGGAAGUGGCAACUGUGAGGAGCUGUGCUGGAGAUGGGUGUGCCUGUGAGCAGCCACAAAGCAGAAUAAGCGCCAGUCAUGCUGCUUCUUGGUAGAUGUGCUGGGGCAUACAUUUAAAUUAUUCAGUGCUGGAUUAAAAUAAAUUGAAGGAAACACUGUCUUCACAGCACACAAUCCAAGUGCAAUGAAUUACUACAAGAUAUUUUAGAGGCUGAAAAUGUAUCUGGUCAUGGAGGUUAGAUACAAAAAGGUCCAUGACUGACAGUCCUCACAAGUCAACUACUUUGCUUGCCAAGAGGUGUAAAGCAGUGGCUUCUGAUGUGUAUGUGUGUAUAUAUAUGCACCUUUUUUCUUCCUCCAGAAGAAUCUGCUUUUUACUGCUGUCAGGAGCAGGAUAGUGGGCUAGGUAAAGUAGCUUUCCUGGGUGAACGCUGUUACGUAAGAGUUGAGCACCGUGCAUGGUUUUGAAGAGAAAUCUUGGUCUCCUGGCAGAUGUCUGACCACCAUGUCCUGCUAUGUCCUUGCCACCGCAGGAGCUUUGUACUGUGACCAAGGAAAUACUAGCAGAGCUUUCCACAAGCUUUACCAAUAGAGGUUAAUUAAAAAAAAAAAAAAAUAGUGUAAGGUCUCCAGGGAAUUUUGAAAAGUAGGAUGUCUCGCUACUCCUUGCUCUCCUUCUUUACCUUGAGAAUGGAGCAUGAGCACUGGGAUUCCAGAAGAAGAGGACUUCAGAAGAGAGAAACUGAGUGGAGUGAACACAUGUUCAGGUGAAACUACGAGAUCUUUUAGAAAGCUAAUGACAGCUGCUGCCUAUUAGUAAGAAUUACCUGAUAGUGCAACUACUGCAACCUGAUAGCCUGCAACUUUUUAAUGCUUCAGGUUUUGCUGAGAUUGUUUUCAGCAUUAGUUUGGGAGGUUUCCUUGUAGUUCUCAAUUGUUUUCUGUUCCCUUUCUUGAUGCUUGGAUUGCACAAGCUAUAUGUGGGCAGAGUGAGAGGAAGUGAAGGAAAAGGAAGCCUCACAAAGUUCUUGUGGUUUUACCCACAAGAGAAGGCAGAUUUCUCCUAUUUGUACACUGUUUUUCUCUCUCUGGGAUAAUUACUGCUCUGUCAGGAAAAGAUGGUGGGUAUUCCUUGGUUGUGAGCUUUCCUAUCAAGUCUAUAGUGUGAAUUUGUCACCAGCUCUUAGAAGGUAGAUCUGGUGUACUUGUUAACUUAUGUGGCUUAGGGAGAAUUAUCAUCAUCUUGUUGUGAGGUGUUCCUAAGAAAAGACUGAAGAUUUGCCAGGAGCAUGUACUGCAUCAGUUGUAAGACAUUAAUACAAUAAAUAAAGGAUCUAACACAUGGAGUUUGAGAGAGUCUUAACUCAGUGAAUCUUGAUUCAAUUUUCUGUUAGAACCACUCUACGCAACAGUUUCUUACUUGAAAUAAGAAUGUAUGUAGGAGGAUAACCCAUGUGUGAACCUAAUCCUGAUGUUCCUUCCAAAGCGCUCAGUGCUACCUCCUGCUAGAGGCAGACUUAAUCUCAAAUAGCCUUUAAUGUUUGAUUGAGUGCUGCUUUUCUUACACACACAUACAGCUGUUGGCAAACGCAUUUUUUUUCCUACCCUUUUUAUUAGGAGAGUCUCAUGCUGAAAGAUCAGCGCU